AGAGUUUGAUUCUGGCUCAGAACGAACGCUGGCGGCGUGGAUAAGACAUGCAAGUCGAACGAGAGAAUUGCUAGCUUGCUAAUAAUUCUCUAGUGGCGCACGGGUGAGUAACACGUGAGUAACCUGCCCCCGAGAGCGGGAUAGCCCUGGGAAACUGGGAUUAAUACCGCAUAGUAUCGAAAGAUUAAAGCAGCAAUGCGCUUGGGGAUGGGCUCGCGGCCUAUUAGUUAGUUGGUGAGGUAACGGCUCACCAAGGCGAUGACGGGUAGCCGGUCUGAGAGGAUGUCCGGCCACACUGGAACUGAGACACGGUCCAGACACCUACGGGUGGCAGCAGUCGAGAAUCAUUCACAAUGGGGGAAACCCUGAUGGUGCGACGCCGCGUGGGGGAAUGAAGGUCUUCGGAUUGUAAACCCCUGUCAUGUGGGAGCAAAUUAAAAAGAUAGUACCACAAGAGGAAGAGACGGCUAACUCUGUGCCAGCAGCCGCGGUAAUACAGAGGUCUCAAGCGUUGUUCGGAAUCACUGGGCGUAAAGCGUGCGUAGGCUGUUUCGUAAGUCGUGUGUGAAAGGCGCGGGCUCAACCCGCGGACGGCACAUGAUACUGCGAGACUAGAGUAAUGGAGGGGGAACCGGAAUUCUCGGUGUAGCAGUGAAAUGCGUAGAUAUCGAGAGGAACACUCGUGGCGAAGGCGGGUUCCUGGACAUUAACUGACGCUGAGGCACGAAGGCCAGGGGAGCGAAAGGGAUUAGAUACCCCUGUAGUCCUGGCAGUAAACGGUGCACGCUUGGUGUGCGGGGAAUCGACCCCCUGCGUGCCGGAGCUAACGCGUUAAGCGUGCCGCCUGGGGAGUACGGUCGCAAGAUUAAAACUCAAAGAAAUUGACGGGGACCCGCACAAGCGGUGGAGUAUGUGGCUUAA
rnacentral:rRNA from 1 species